rnacentral:lncRNA from 1 species
CUUCUAAGAACAGUAACACGUUCAGCAUUCCUGGCAGGACCAGAUCCUCAUGGAACCUAUUCACCCUGGCUCUCCUUUGCCUUUGUGAAGAAUUGAUUUCCUGUGGUGUGUUUAUGAAGACUGUAACUGAAGAUUUUAGGAAAAGCAGUGUAAAAUGUUCAGAGAACAUCCACUGGUCUUGGGGUACCACUAACUGACUUUCGAAUACAGGUAA